rnacentral:rRNA from 1 species
AUUGAACGCUGGCGGCAUGCUUUACACAUGCAAGUCGAACGCCCCGCAAGGGGAGCGGCAGACGGGUGAGUAACGCGUGGGAAUCUACCGAGCCCUGCGGAAUAGCUCCGGGAAACUGGAAUUAAUACCGCAUACGCCCUACGGGGGAAAGAUUUAUCGGGGUUUGAUGAGCCCGCGUUGGAUUAGCUAGUUGGUGGGGUAAUGGCCUACCAAGGCGACGAUCCAUAGCUGGUCUGAGAGGAUGAUCAGCCACAUUGGGACUGAGACACGGCCCAAACUCCUACGGGAGGCAGCAGUGGGGAAUAUUGGACAAUGGGCGCAAGCCUGAUCCAGCCAUGCCGCGUGAGUGAUGAAGGCCUUAGGGUUGUAAAGCUCUUUCACCGAUGAAGAUAAUGACGGUAGUCGGAGAAGAAGCCCCGGCUAACUUCGUGCCAGCCGCCGCGGUAACAC